AUGCCCCGCGCCGCGUCCCUUCCCCCGGCGCAGCCCCGCCCCGUGCCGCCCCGCAGCCGCCGCCAUUUUAAGUGAUCUGGAAGCGGGCGGUAUCGAGGGGCGUGCGGCCGCCAUCCCGACGGCGGGCAUGGCCUUUGGAGGCGGUGGCGCCGUCUUGGGACUGGCAGAGGGGAGGUCCCCGUGUUGGUGCGGUCCGGCGGGCUCCAAGCUCGGGCACACCGAGCUCGGGGCCGUCUUGUCGCGGCGUAGUCGUGGCCGCCAUCUUGGGCAGGCUCCGCAUUUGGGGUCUUCUGGCCGCCGUGCUGGGGACAGUCACCCCCGCUCCCUGACCCGGGCUGGAUGCGAGGACUGUCGCCGCUCAGAGGGGCUUAUGACCUGUGAAGAGCCCUGGGGGCUGCUGUUGGGCUUAGGGAUGGCCCGGGCGAACUCCUUGGGCUAGAAGAGGAGGCACGGGAGCGGUUGGCGACCGCUCUUCGCAGGAGGAGGGAAGGGGCAGCUCCUUGCCCCAGGAGCCCUGGGCGCCUGUCCGCCUUCCUGCUUGGCUGCAUUUCGGCUCUGAAAAGGCCUAGAGACUUGAUUCUCCUGGCUGGCCGCUCUUUCCACCAAGGCCCUGUUUCCUGAAUGCUGGACACUAUCCUGCAUCGCCCCAAGUUACAUUUACAUGAGAGUGAGGGCCCCCCACUUGACCUCUCCCUUGCAGAGACACCCCAGGCUGGGUCGUGCUGGGCGGGUGUCGGAGGCGGCGUUGGAGAGAUGAGCCAGAGGGUGGCCCUGGACGCCAAACCGCCCUGCAGUCCUCCGAGCUGCGCUUUGAGGGCUGUUGAGAGAGGGGUGGAAGGUGGAGGUGCGAUUUUUGCCUCGGCAUCUAGAGAGGCGAAGGAGCAGCCCUGGGCUCCGCUGCUGACUGUGGCCAUGGGCCGUUAACCUCAUCAAAGCCCAGUUUCCUCCUGUUGUAGAUGGGAGAGGAACAGUUUUUGAACUGCGUAGAACCUCGGCAAGUCUUAGCGCUGCAUUUGUGUUUUCUAAGCUGUAAUUCUAGUUAUUGCUACUUUUGACUUGUGGAAUGUGGCUCCUCCCUGGGGAGUCCUCCAAAGUCCCUUCCCUCGUGUGACUUCCUUCACUGCGGUUCACUGCAGCCCCUACCCCCGCUCCCAGGGUCCUCAGCAUCGCAGUCCCUGCAGAACCUGUCUCUUCUUCAUGACGUGAGUCAUGAGGCAUUGGACAGGUAAUUGCUGGGAAGAGCUCUUGGCCAGGCUAAAAUUUCUUUCUCAGUCGCAGUGUCUGGCUGGGGGCGGUGGCUCACGCCUGUAAUCCCAGCACUUUGGGAGGCUGAAGGGGGUGGAUCACUUGAGCCCAGAAGUUCAAGACCAGCUUGGCCAACAAGGUGAAACCCUGUCUGUACUAAAAAUACAAACAAAAUUAGGUGGGCACGGUGGCGCACGCCUGUGGUCCCAGCUGCUCGAGAGGCUGAGCCAGGAGGAUUGCUUGAACCCGGAGGCGCAGGUUGCAGUGCGCCGAGAUCGCGCCACUGCACAUCGCCUGGCGACAGAGUGAGACUCUGUCUCCAAUUAAUUAAUCCCAGUGUCUUUACCUACAUAGAACUGGCAACUUUAAAUCCUGUGCUUCUGUGGAGGGAGAGCGAAGGAAGAGUGUGGACAGUGGGGGCCAGGAAGUUCUCAGGUAGCCCAGCAGGCCACGCAGAAGUCAAGGGGUGUGUAGGUACAGGAGGGGCCGUCUCCACAGGGAGACGCCUGGAUCCAUACUCCAUCCAGGCUUCAUCUGCAGAGACCAGGGGUGGACACCUCGUUUGUGGGGGCCGUCACAGCUGAUGCCCCAGCUCAGGAUGUCCACCAGAAACCAGGAGUCACCAUCCUCUUAAGGGUGGUGCCUGUCCUCCAGAGAGCAUAUCACUGGGUUCAAACCCCAGCUCCUACCGGCAAAGCCCGGGGCCUCCACCUGGGUGUUCCCAUCCAUGAAGCGGGGAUACACAGUGUGGAGCCCUUGGGAGGUUGGGGAGUGUGCCUGCCCUCACCGCGCAUCAGCUCAUAAAUACAACAACAGUUGCCUUCACGUGCUGAUGCUCAGUGAGCAGUGGCGCAGUUCCCCAGCUGGCGCAGUCAGUGGUGUCUGUCUGCUGUCAGAGGUCACCUGGACCCAGCACGAGUCCUUGCCCCUAGAGGGAGUCUCCACACACCCCACGACGCUGUCCUCCCUGUGGGAUAACUACACGAGGAGAUGGCAGGCCAUCGUAUCAUUCAGUGCAGCGAUACCUCCUGUGGUGGGAAUGGGGUCAGGAGGGAUUUUCCCGGAGCAGGGCCACUCGCUGGCCUAGCCUGGGGUCUCCACUUUUGGAAGUGUGGUCUUGUGGGGUCCAGGUUCUCCUUAAGGGCCUUUACAAGGAAUGGGAGCGUCCAGUGGUGGAGAGGAGCUGGCUGGCUGCGCCUGCUACCCACACGGGAAUGUCCUCCUGGGCUCCUCUCUUCAACUGGCCUUCACCUCUCCGCCUCACAGAUUUCACUCGGAGAAUCCGCCUUGCAGCCUGUCUUCUGCUCCCUCCCAUCUACCUUUUGUUUUUUUUUGAGACGGAGUCUUACCCUGUCUCCCAGGCUGGAGUGCAAUGGCGUGAUCUUGGCUCACUGCAGCCUCUGCCUCCUGGAUUCUCCUGCCUCAGCCUCCCGAGUAUCUGGGAUUACAGGCAUGCACCACCAUGCCUGGCUGUUUUUUUGUAUAUUUAGUAGAGACGGGGUUUCACCACGUUGGCUAGGCUAGUCUCGAACCCCUGAGCUUGUGAUCCACCUGCCUCAGCCUCCCAAAAUGCUGAGAUUACAGGCGUGAGCCACCACGCCCAGCGUCUGUCUACCUUUUAUUCCCAUCACUCCCCACCCCAGACAGGGUGUUGUGUUAUGAUGGGGAAGGCCCUUGUGUCUUUUGGGUGUGUUAGACCUGGGAAACAAUCUGUCUUCUCCUUUCACGUGCCCCAAAGCAGGACUCCAAUCUUCCCCGGGCCUUUCUGAUUGGGAGUCUUAAGACCCUCCCCAGAGAGGGCCCCACCCUGUUCCCUGGGAAAGGAAUGCUGACAAAACCCUACAGGACGGUUUGGAGACAGGGUUAGUUCAACUCGUGUGUGUCCCCAGAGGGUGACACCACAGGGAUGAAUGGGAGCUCCAGGCCCCUCCCCAGCACCUCAACCUGCACAUUGCUUCAUCUGGAUCCUUUGUAACAUCCUUUAUAAUAAACCAGUGAAGGUGUU
ensembl:lncRNA novel transcript